AAAAGAAAAAAAAAAGAAAGAAAGAAAGAUAUCAGGCCUCUAUUAGGCACACUCCACAAAACUUAGGCGGCCUUUAUCUAUUACUUCCAUACAUGAGCAUAAGUUCUUCUAUAAUAAAUCAGCGCAUAGAGGUUCACAUCAGAUAAGCAGCCAAUGUACAUUGAGCAGACAUUGUUUCAGUAGUAAGUGUACAUACGCUCAAAAUUUGGAUGGCAUCUCACUUUUCCUAGGGAGGCCAAGAAUUUACUGGACAUGGUCUUAACGUACCACUCCUCCAAGAAUGCAAAAGUCGACCUCACCCUAGCUUUUUUUUUAAAAAAUCUAUGGAAAGAAAAAAA